rnacentral:rRNA from 1 species
GAUGAACGCUGGCGGCGUGCUUAACACAUGCAAGUCGAACGAAGCAGUUGAAUGGAAUUCUUCGGAAGGAAGCUCAAGUGACUGAGUGGCGGACGGGUGAGGUAACGCGUGGGUAACCUGCCUCAUACAGGGGGAUAACAGUUAGAAAUGACUGCUAAUACCGCAUAAGCACACGUGAUCGCAUGAUCGAGUGUGAAAAACUCCGGUGGUAUGAGAUGGACCCGCGUCUGAUUAGCUAGUUGGUGGGGUAAUGGCCCACCAAGGCGACGAUCAGUAGCCGGCCUGAGAGGGUGAACGGCCACAUUGGGACUGAGACACGGGCCCAA